UACGUAGGGUGCAAGCGUUGUCCGGAAUUAUUGGGCGUAAAGAGCUCGUAGGCGGUCUGUCACGUCGGCCGUGAAAACCCGAGGCUCAACCUCGGGCCUGCAGUCGAUACGGGCAAACUAGAGUACUGCAGGGGAGACUGGAAUUCCUGGUGUAGCGGUGAAAUGCGCAGAUAUCAGGAGGAACACCGGUGGCGAAGGCGGGUCUCUGGGCAGUAACUGACGCUGAGGAGCGAAAGCGUGGGGAGCAAACAGG
rnacentral:rRNA from 1 species